rnacentral:rRNA from 1 species
CAGCAGUAGCCGCGGUAAUACAGAGGGUGCGAGCGUUAAUCGGAUUUACUGGGCGUAAAGCGUGCGUAGGCGGCUUCUUAAGUCGGAUGUGAAAUCCCUGAGCUUAACUUAGGAAUUGCAUUCGAUACUGGGAAGCUAGAGUAUGGGAGAGGAUGGUAGAAUUCCAGGUGUAGCGGUGAAAUGCGUAGAGAUCUGGAGGAAUACCGAUGGCGAAGGCAGCCAUCUGGCCUAAUACUGACGCUGAGGUACGAAAGCAUGGGGAGCAAACAGGAUUAGAUACCCGGGUAGUCCCUGUCUCUUAUAC